UCCGUAGGGUGCAAGCGUUAAUCGGAAUUACUGGGCGUAAAGCGUGCGCAGGCGGUUGUGCAAGACCGAUGUGAAAUCCCCGGGCUUAACCUGGGAACUGCAUUUGUGACUGCAUCGCUGGAGUGCGGCAGAGGGGGAUGGAAUUCCGCGUGUAGCAGUGAAAUGCGUAGAUAUGCGGAGGAACACCGAUGGCGAAGGCAAUCCCCUGGGCCUGCACUGACGCUCAUGCACGAAAGCGUGGGGAGCAAACAGG
rnacentral:rRNA from 1 species